UACGAAGGGGGCUAGCGUUGCUCGGAAUCACUGGGCGUAAAGCGCACGUAGGCGGCUUGUUAAGUCAGGGGUGAAAUCCUGGAGCUCAACUCCAGAACUGCCUUUGAUACUGGCGAUCUCGAGUCCGGGAGAGGUGAGUGGAACUGCGAGUGUAGAGGUGAAAUUCGUAGAUAUUCGCAAGAACACCAGUGGCGAAGGCGGCUCACUGGCCCGGUACUGACGCUGAGGUGCGAAAGCGUGGGGAGCGAACAGG
rnacentral:rRNA from 1 species